AACGAACGCUGGCGGCAUGCCUAACACGUGCAAGUCGAACGAGACCUUCGGGUCUAGUGGCGCACGGGUGCGUAACGCGUGGGAACCUGCCUUUAGGUUCGGAAUAACUCAGAGAAAUUUGAGCUAAUACCGGAUAAUGUCUUCGGACCAAAAGAUUUAUCGCCUUUAGAUGGGCCCGCGUUUGGAUUAGCUAGUUGGUGGGGUAAAGGCCUACCAAGGCGACGAUCCAUAGCUGGUCUGAGAGGAUGAUCAGCCACACUGGGACUGAGACACGGCCCAGACUCCUACGGGAGGCAGCAGUGGGGAAUAUUGGACAAUGGGCGAAAGCCUGAUCCAGCAAUGCCGCGUGAGUGAUGAAGGCCUUAGGGUUGUAAAGCUCUUUUACCCGAGAUGAUAAUGACAGUAUCGGGAGAAUAAGACUCCGGCUAACUCCGUGCCAGCAGCCG
rnacentral:rRNA from 1 species